rnacentral:rRNA from 1 species
AACGAACGCUGGCGGCAUGCCUAACACAUGCAAGUCGAACGAAGCCUUCGGGCUUAGUGGCGCACGGGUGCGUAACGCGUGGGAAUCUGCCCUUGGGUUCGGAAUAACAGUUAGAAAUGACUGCUAAUACCGAAUGAUGUCUUCGGACCAAAGAUUUAUCGCCCAGGGAUGAGCCCGCGUAGGAUUAGCUAGUUGGUGAGGUAAAGGCUCACCAAGGCGACGAUCCUUAGCUGGUCUGAGAGGAUGAUCAGCCACACUGGGACUGAGACACGGCCCAGACUCCUACGGGAGGCAGCAGUGGGGAAUAUUGGACAAUGGGCGAAAGCCUGAUCCAGCAAUGCCGCGUGAGUGAUGAAGGCCUUAGGGUUGUAAAGCUCUGUCGUAUGGGAAUAAUAAACUGAAUGUACCAUGCAAGAAAGGAUCGGCUAACUUCGUGCCAGCAGCCGCGGUAAU